GUAGGUGGCAAGCGUUGUCCGGAAUUAUUGGGCGUAAAGCGCGCGCAGGCGGUUCUUUAAGUCUGAUGUGAAAGCCCACGGCUCAACCGUGGAGGGUCAUUGGAAACUGGAGAACUUGAGUACAGAAGAGGAAAGCGGAAUUCCACGUGUAGCGGUGAAAUGCGUAGAGAUGUGGAGGAACACCAGUGGCGAAGGCGGCUUUCUGGUCUGUAACUGACGCUGAGGCGCGAAAGCGUGGGGGAGCAAACAGGAUUAGAUACCCUGGUAGUCCACGCCGUAAACGAUGAGUGCUAAGUGUUAGGGGGUUUUCCGCCCCUUAGUGCUGCAGCUACCGCAUUAAGCACUCCGCCUGGGAGUACGGCCGCAGGCUG
rnacentral:rRNA from 1 species